rnacentral:rRNA from 1 species
CCUACGGGUGGCUGCAGUCGAGAAUCAUUCACAAUGGGGGAAACCCUGAUGGUGCGACGCCGCGUGGGGGAAUGAAGGUCUUCGGAUUGUAAACCCCUGUCAUGUGGGAGCAAAUUAAAAAGAUAGUACCACAAGAGGAAGAGACGGCUAACUCUGUGUCAGCAGCCGCGGUAAUACAGCGGUCUCAAGCGUUGUUCGGCAUCACUGGGCGUAAAGCGUGCGUAGGCUGUUUCGUAAGUCGUGUGUGAAAGGCGCGGGCUCAACCCGCGGACGGCACAUGAUACUGGGAGACUAGAGUAAGGGAGGGGGAACCGGAAUUCUCGGUGUAGCAGUGAAAUGCGUAGAUAUCGAGAGGAACACUCGUGGCGAAGGCGGGUUCCUGGACAUUAACUGACGCUGAGGCACGAAGGCCAGGGGAGCGAAAGGGAUUAGAUACCCCAGUAGUC